AUGCAAAGCUGUGAAGUGGAGCGAACCCCUAAAAGCCGUCCCAGUUCAGAUUGCAGUCUGCAACUCGACUGCAUGAAGUCGGAAUCGCUAGUAAUCGCGGAUCAGCAUGCCGCGGUGAAUACGUUCCCGGGCCUUGUACACACCGCCCGUCACACCAUGAGAGUCGGGAACACCCGAAGUCCGUAGCCUAACCGCAAGGGGGGCGCGGCCGAAGGUGGGUUCGAUAAUUGGGGUGAAGUCGUAACAAGGUACC
rnacentral:rRNA from 1 species